rnacentral:snoRNA from 8 species
AGCCGCUGAUGACUUCCAUUAACUUUUUCUGACACCUCGUAUGAAAGCUGUAUUUCAGCAUCUGAUUAUAAACUUAAGUCUGAGGCUC